rnacentral:lncRNA from 1 species
GCCCCCUCUGCCACAAAUUAUGAUGUAGGCUCUGCCACUAGGGCAGACCUUAGAACAGCACCCCUUCUUUGUGCAAUGAAGGUCACAGUUCUAGACCAUGAGCCUUUAUGAUCACUCAUUGACCCCAUCCAGGUAAGUAUGUUUCUCGAUGCCACAAGUAUUUCUUUUAUAGCUAAUGCUCUUUACUCAUAUACAGAAUAUGUCCAUGUGGGACUUUGAGUCGUUUUUAGUAAUUAUACUAAAAAGAUGACCAUGAACCAAGUAAUUAUACUAUCCUUUUGAUAUUACAUAAAACAGUUGGUUGAAUAGUGGUUGAACAAUAAUAGAAUUAGCACUAACAAUAAUUAUAUGAACCCAAAAAGAUUAUUACUAUUUGGACCAUUAAGAAUAAUUAUAUCAAUCUAAGAAAUCAUUACUACUUGAACCGUUAAGAAUAAUUAUAUCAACCCUAAAAAAUAUUACUAUUUGGACCAUCUGGAUUAUUUCAAAAUUUAUAAAUCCAUAUUUAUAUUUAUUCAGAUAAUUAAUUACUUAUUAGGCAUUUAUUACUAAAGCAUUCGUAUGAUGAACAUUGACUUUUAACGUUAAAGAUGCAGAAAGCCAAGUCUACCGAACAGCUGAGAGAAGACUUAGAACUUGGAAACCCUUUUAAAGUACCAUAAACUAAAAACUAAAACGAGUUCUUUUAGGAAAAACCGUAUUUUAAGACAUAAAAAACAGAAUAUAACCAAGAAAACACAGAUGUCUUCAACAUAAUUUUGUAUCUGUAGAAUGGAUGUUCAUAUAAAACAAAUAAGCAAAAAAAGUUCAAUAUGUGGGAUAAUAAACAUUUUGAGGAAAAAAGACAUUUUAUUUUAUUGUGAACAUAUUUCGACAAAAACAUGAAAACAUCAUCAAAAUAAUAAUGAAACUUACCAAAAUAAAAAUUCAUUAAAAACUUCCAGAAAAAACUGCCCAAAGAUUCUGGAGUUUGGAAUCAUUUUAGAACAUAAUAUUCUCCAUAGGCCCAUCUAAUUCUAUCUGAAGGAACAAUUAAGUUCCAUUUAAUAGAAAUCUAAUUCUAUCUGAAGGAGCAAUUAAGUUCCAUUUAAUAGAAAAAGUGUUAAACUAUACAUAAUAAGGGCUGCGCGAACGCAAGCCCUCUCUGCCACAAAUUAUGAUGUAGGCUCUGCCACUAGGNCAGACCUUAGAACAGCANCCCUUCNNUGUGCAAUGAAGGUCACAGUUCUAGNCCAUGAGCCUUUNUGAUCACUCAUUGACCCCAUCCAGGUAAGUAUGUUUCUCAAUGCCACAAGUAUUUCUUUUAUAGCUAAUGCUCUUUACUNAUAUACAGAAUAUNUCCAUGUGGGACUUUAAGUCGUUUUUACAUGAUUAUGGAAAAACAGAAUACAAUAAACAAGGACACAAAAAUGUCAAAAUCAUUUUUAUCCAAAUGGUUUUGACUUACUUCCAACUGUUGUUCAUUUAAAUAUGUGGGAUUAUAAACUCAUUUAAAUAUUUUGAGGAAAAAAGACAUCAUUUAUUGUGAAACUAAUUCAAAAUGUAUGGUAAAAAGAUGUUUUUGGAUUAGUGUCCAAAAACUGCAUCUAUCACAAAAUCUGCAUUAAACAGUCCAAAAUAUGUGAAGCUAUAAUGGCUAAUUUGGUCUUAAACAAACACGCAGCUAAUACAAAUACUCUAAAGUGAAUUAUGAAAUAGGAAAUAUAGAGUGGUAUCCGUUUGUUGUUAUUUUAUCGUGUGUUCUUCUUGGUAAAGCAGGUACUUUUACCAAAUCAGUUACAAAAUAAUGUUUACGCGAAGCGAAGGAUAUGCAAGUCUUAGAUCUUGGACUUUUUAGAAAAAGUGGUUGUUGUGGGGAGGGGGACGUAAUGUGCCCUCCCUGCUCUGCUGAAGCUACUCUUUACGCCGAACGAUCAUAAUAGCAAAGGUGCCCGAUUUUCCCUUUUCGUAAGUAGUCAUGAGAUCUGAAAUAAAACACAAAAUUUAGAUGAGUUGAAAACAACCAAAUUAAAGUAGUAUGUAACAAAAGGCUUACUGAACACUCUACUACAUAGAGUGUCUGAGUCAAGAUAAUUGAUGAGGUCGUGGGAAGGGACUUUGCGAGGUAACUAAUUGAUCAAGCCGACCACCUUUAUUUCCGUUGGUGUCAUCAUAGAUUUCGCCCAAAUAGGUUACCCUUUUGGGAUGCUCAGUCUAGCAAAAAAGGAAUUUCUAUUUCAAAUAAAACCUUGACUGACUGGCCUCCUUUAUUGUGACCUUUAAGAAGUUGGUCUUAAACCCUUUACAGGAAGAGGGUGAACAAUGUCUGGUCUUUCUCCAAAAUAAGAGACACUCACAACUUGUUGAAGUGCAGUCGGGUUCGAAAAAAAUAUAAGAAAGAUGUUGGUGUUUGGCCCGGUCUAAGGCCUUGUAGACAACAACAAAUGCCUGCAUAAAAAUCCACCUGUUUGGGUGGAGUUGGAUAUGGGCCACAUUCAACUAUCACAAAACAUCCAUCUGAAACUCGAAGAACGCAGCCGAACAGACAUGUCGCGGAAUAUCAUCCAAUACACAUAGAAGAAGUCCAGUGCAUAACCCUCCCUCCCGUGACAAGCCUACUCAAUUCUUUUGCAAACAACAAGCUUAAAACACUCAGCAUAUGUAGCCUCCCUCACCAGGUUAUUAUGGUUCCUGAAAUCCUCUAAAGACGAACCAAUGCUGAAGUAAGAAACGUAAUUCACGAUCUCAUGGAGAGCCCAACCAUAUCCGAAAAUAGGUGGCAACGUCGCACAAAACCCUAUCCACUCUCGGAUGACAUCAAUCUCCACUGCAGUUGUCGCACCCUCAUCGAUAGGAGCAGCCUCAUUAUUUAUGUGCAUAGUUAUUCCUUCGUCAACCGAGGCCUUGCCAUGCUCAGUUGACCCUAGGAUAGAAGAGUCGACAGAUGACGAUGACGACUCUGAUCCACCAUCAGUAUACCUCUGGUCUCCCCAUCCUACGAACUCCUCAAACGAAAAAAGUUUCACGAUCAACAUUAUCACCUUAGUAUAGGAAAAUAAGUGAAAACACUUGAUCGCAAGAAGUAAGAAAAAUAGUAAGUGUGAAAAUGACAGCGACCCCACCCACUAUUUAUAGUCGAAAAAGCGAUUUUUGUAGACAAAUCUCAAUCGUUGAAACCAACACGAUCAACGAUCCACGAAACACAACCUUUUGUUUCAAACAGACGCAUGAAUCUCGAGAAUCAACUUUUCCCACUCACACCAGUUACAUUUCCCUGUGAUCGUCACAGUAACUACCCACGGUAACUACCCACGCAAGCAACUGCUUUUGGACUAGCAGUGUGACAGAAUCCCUCCCACUAUAACACACACGGCCCUCCUUGUUUUCAACAAACUUUCUCACAUCUCCUUAUAAAAUAUAUGCGAAGUAUGUGUAAUGUAUGACCAUCUCAUCAACCAUAAACCAAGUGGUCAUACUAUCCUUUUUAUCCCACAUAAAUCAGUUGAUUGAACAAGGCACUAAGAAUAAUUAUAUCAACUUGGCUUAUUCCAAAAUUUAUAAAUAUAUAUUUAUUCGAAUAAUUGAAGAAAGCCAAGUCUACUUAAAACUUGACACCCUUUAAGUCCCAUAAACUAAACUAAAAAAGUUCUUUUAGGAAUACAACCAAGAAAACACAGAUGUCACCAACAUAAUUUUGUAAUAUCACUUAAUACGUAGAAUGGAUGUUCAUAUAAAACAAAUCAGCAAAAAAGUUAAAUAUGUGGGAUAAUAAGCAUUUUGAGGAAAAAUGAAUAUUUUAUUGUGAAGAAAUAUUUCGUCAAAAACUUAAAAACAUCAUCAAAAUAGUAACGAAACUUACCAAAAUAAAAUUGCAUCACAAAAAUUCCGAGGUUGGAAUCAUUUUAGAACAUAACAUUCUCCGUAGGCCCAUCUAAAGGAACAAUGAAGUUCGACUUAAUAGAAAAAGUGUUAAACUUUACAUAGUAGGGGCUGCGCGAACACAAGCCCCCUCUGCCACAGAUUAUGAUGUAGGCUCUGCCACUAGGNCANACCUUAGAACAGCACCCCUUCNUUGUGCAAUGAAGGUCACAGUUCUAGNCCAUGAGCCUUUNUGAUCACUCAUUGACCCCAUCCAGGUAAGUAUGUUUCUCNAUGCCACAAGUAUUUCUUUUAUAGCUAAUGCUCUUUACUCAUAUACAGAAUAUUUCCAUGUGGGACUUUGAGUCGUUUUUACAUGAUUAUGGAAAAGCAGA